rnacentral:rRNA from 1 species
GGAAUAUUGGUCAAUGGGCGAUGGCCUGAACCAGCCAAGUAGCGUGCGGGAUGACUGCCCUAUGGGUUGUAAACCGCUUUUGCAGGGGAAUAAAGUGUGGUACGCGUACCGUUUUGUAUGUACCCUGAGAAUAAGGACCGGCUAAUUCCGUGCCAGCAGCCGCGGUAAUACGGAAGGUCCGGGCGUUAUCCGGAUUUAUUGGGUUUAAAGGGAGCGCAGGCUGGAUAUUAAGCGUGACGUGAAAUGCCGCGGCUCAACCGUGGAAGUGCGUCGCGAACUGGUGUCCUUGAGUGUAUUCGACGUCAGCGGAAUUCGUGGUGUAGCGGUGAAAUGCUUAGAUAUCACGAAGAACUCCGAUUGCGAAGGCAGCUGGCGAGGCUACAACUGACGCUAAAGCUCGAAGGUGCGGGUAUCGAACA